CGUUGGUGAGCUGACAAAAAGCGUUAUAACCAACGAUGUCCGAAUGGGGAAACCCGGCACUUCGGUGUCAUCUGCAACUGAAUACAUAGGUUGCAGAAGCGAACGAGGGGAACUGAAACAUCUAAGUACCCUUAGGAAGAGAAAUCAAUUGAGAUUGCCUUAGUAGCGGCGAGCGAACGGGUAACAGCCGAUGGUUUAUGUUGUAGUGGAACGGUCUGGAAAGUCCGGCGAUACAGGGUGAUAGCCCCGUACACGAAGCAUGAUAUAUCACAUAUUAAGUAGGACGGGACACGUGUUAUCUUGUCUGAAGAUGGGGGGACCAUCCUCCAAGGCUAAAUACUCCUGGCUGACCGAUAGUGAACCAGUACCGUGAGGGAAAGGUGAAAAGCACCCCGACGAGGGGAGUGAAACAGUACCUGAAACCGGAUGCUUACAAGCAGGUGGAGCUCUUCGGAGUGACACCGUACCUUUUGUAUAAUGGGUCAGCGACUUAGUGUUGCG
rnacentral:rRNA from 1 species